AGAAGAACCUAUGGGCACAAAAAGCAGGAACGAGUAGCGGUGGCUGAAGAACGAGCAGGAGCUUGAAUUUCAGUUUUCUUAUGAGGAAUUUUCCAGAAAAGAUAUCUUCACUGUGAAAUAACUAAAUAAAUGCCCACUCAGUACAGUCACUGUCUCCCUUUUGGAACUUGAUGGCACCUUAAGCCCAGGUUUGCCUCCACUCUAGAAACUCAUCAGAGUGAUGCCCUUCUCAAAUGGGGGAGGUCCCAAAGCGGAUAUCCUGGCAGUGUGAAAGGCCGGCUAAAGCUUUCCCUGCACUCCAAACACAGAGCUGAGACUUCCACCUAAUGUAGAAAGCUAGCACGAGCCGGCGCUGACAGAUGGAAGACUUGAGAUGUUACAAGAUUAUAUAUGGAAACACAAAAGGAGAUACCGGAGCCAUGACAGACUGUGAUGGGGCUGGUGGACAGUUCAGCAAGACAUUGAUAUUGUCCAUUGGCGCUCAGUUCAUCUGUAAUGACACAUUCAAGGAUGACGAUUAAUGUCCAAUAUGUAUAAAGUGGAUCCCUUUGUAAAAACA
rnacentral:lncRNA from 1 species